ACGAUGAAGAACGCAGCCAGAUGCGAGACUUGGUGUGAAUUGCAGGACACAUUGAGCACUGAUUUUUCGAACGCACAUUGCGGCCUCGGGUCCUACCCGGGGCCUCGCCUGUCUGAGGGUCGGAUGAUAUUAUCAGAAGGGACUUUUGUCCCUACGUGGCCGUGUCGGAUGCUCGUGAGGGCUCCGUCGGCUUAAGUUUCGACUUCUUCUCCCGGCGUGCGGUUUGCGGCCGUGGGAAUAGCGGAGCCUGAUGCUUCUGCGCUGCCAGCUGCGGCCGCACUCGAGAGAGAGUCUAUGUAUUGAAAGCAGAACUGUCGACCUCAGAUCAGACGAGACGACCCGCUGAAUUUAAGCAUAUCAAUAAGCGGAGGAA
rnacentral:rRNA from 1 species